CCUACGGGUGGCAGCAGUGGGGAAUAUUGCACAAUGGGGGAAACCCUGAUGCAGCGACGCCGCGUGAGCGAGGAAGUCUUUCGGUAUGUAAAGCUCUAUCAGCAGGGACGAAAAAAGACGGUACCUGACUACGACGCCCCGGCUAACUGCGUGCCAGCAGCCGCGGUAAUACGUAGGUGGCCAGCGUUAUCCGGAAUGACUGGGCGUAAAGGGUGCGUAGGUGGUUUAGUAAGUUGGCGGUGUAAUUCCGGGGCUCAACCUCGGAGCUACCGCCAAAACUAUUAGACUAGAGUGCAGGAGGGGUAAGUGGAAUUCCGAGUGUAGCGGUGGAAUGCGUAGAUAUUAGGAGGAACAUCAGGGGCGAAGGCGACUUACUGGACUGUAACUGACACUGAGGCACGAAAGCGUGGGGAGCAAACAGGAUUAGAUACCCUGGUAGUC
rnacentral:rRNA from 1 species